CAUGAUUAUGAUGAAUUGUUAUUUUCUUUUUCCAGCACCCGAGAAAAGGCAGCGCGUACCUUCUGCUUAUAAUCAGUUCAUAAAGGAAGAGAUCCAGAGGAUUAAGGCUAAUAAUCCUGAUAUCAGUCACAGAGAAGCAUUCAGUACUGCAGCAAAGAACGUAUGAAUAACAAGAUUAAAUUAUUAUAUAAUUAUCAUCACGCCUCUGAGAAGCAUUUGAUGUCAAGGGCUGCACCUGCACUGUUGAAUAAAUGAAUCUACAUAUAUAAUAUAAGGCUAUGAUCUUCAAUAUAUAUUUAUGAUGGAGGGUGAUGAAGGAUUUCAGUUUCAUGUGAGUCUGUAUGUCAAGUAAGGAAAAUAUGGUCCUGACUUAUUAUGAUACUUAAGGACAAUAUUAUAUUUAAUUAACUCGUUGUUGUUUUCUUCUUCUUGUAUUAGUAGUGUAUGUACUAUUUACUCCACUUGUUCAAGAUGAUUUUACUUAAUUUCAAGUAUGAAUGCUAUUUAAUUUCCCCUUGUCAUCAUA